rnacentral:rRNA from 1 species
GAGAAACCCAAAAGAUCGAAUGGGGAGAUUCAUCGUCAGCGGCUUUGGCUUCCGUGCGGCUUGCGAUGGCGCUGGAUUUCGGUUCAGCGUCACGCUGUCGCUGCGGCAUGUCCGGAGUCGUCGGCGUGCACUUCUCCCCUAGUAGGACGUCGCGACCCGUUGGGUGUCGGACCGAUGGCCGGUCGGUCGUCUGUUGCGCUCACGCGCUUCAGACCGAUUCGGUCGAAAGUCCGGCUGCCCGGCGGUAUUGAACGAUAUGACAUGGUAUCGGGCCGCAUCGAAUGCGUUCCUGGCUCGUCGGCAGGCUCGUCUCGCUCGGAUUUACGGACCUAGUGCCGUUGCCGGGCGCUUGGCGUGGCUGUUAGUCGACGAUGUCCUCGGACUGGCUCUUACCCGUCGGCGACGCUACUGCUUUGGGUACUUUC